rnacentral:rRNA from 1 species
UAAGUGGAGAGUUUGAUCCUGGCUCAGAACGAACGCUGGCGGCAUGCUUAACACAUGCAAGUCGAACGAUAUCUGAGAAGCUUGCUUCUUAGUGAAAGUGGCGCACGGGUGAGAAACGCGUGGAUAACGUACCUUAUAGUUCAGGAUAACUUGCGGAAAUGCGGGCUAAUACUGGAUACGUUCUUGAAGAGUUCGCUCUUUGAGAAGAAAGCAGGGCAACUUGCGCUAUUUGAUCGGUCCGCGUCCCAUCAGCUAGUUGGCGGGGUAAUGGCCCACCAAGGCUACGACGGGUAACUGGUCUGAGAGGACGACCAGCCACACUGGGACUGAGACACGGCCCAGACUCCU